rnacentral:lncRNA from 1 species
CCACCUACUUUUGGUCCUAUUGACUCCUCAGUGGUGAUUACGGGCCAAUUAUCUAUUUUUCUUGAGCACUAGGCUCGUAUGAUGGCUGACAUUACCCUACUACAGUCCACCUCUAAGCGACUUAUUGCUAAUACCUUUGCUACUGUUCUCCACCUGCUUUUGGUCCUAUUGACCCCUCAGUAGUGAUUACGGGCCAAUUAUCUACUUUUCUUGAGCACUAGGCUCGUAUGAUGGCUAACAUUACCCUACUACAGUCCACCUCUGAGCGACUUAUUGCUAAUGUUGCUGCUCUGUAGAUUGAUGCAAAGUGGAUUCACCAACAUUAGAAUGACGAAGAUGAGGACAGUGAGACAUAUAGGAGUCCAUAUGAUAUUGUUGGGAUGUAUGGAUGUUGUAGUUGAAAUGUAUUUAAUUUUUUU